UAAAGAGGGUGCAAGAGAUGUUAGGAAUUAUUGGGCGUAAAGCGUAUGUAGGUGGUUUGCUAAGUCUGGUGUGAAAGCCUGGGGCUCAACCCCAGCAGUGCACUGGAUACUGGCAGGCUAGAGGACGGGAGAGGAUGGUGGAAUUCCUGGUGUAGGGGUGAAAUCCGUAGAUAUCAGGAGGAAUACCGGUGGCGAAGGCGGCCAUCUGGCCCGUUUCUGACACUCAGAUGCGAUAGCGUUGGGAGCAAACAGG
rnacentral:rRNA from 1 species